UCUGAUUUGUUGUUUUGCAUAAUAGUUUUUCGUGCUAUUGGAGGGGUUGCCCAAUCAGAA
rnacentral:tRNA from 1 species